GAAAAAGCCCAAACCCAACAUGGGAGCCCGUAAGCAUAGGCCCCUGAGGCGUGCCAAAGUCCGGUAUGCAUUCUAGGCAUGUGUCUGCAGGGCCUCAGCAUUGACACCUGGCCAGACUCUGAAGACUGUGACUGAGGAGUGAAUUCUUCUUCCUUCCUGGUGACCCUGCAUUACUUUCCAUUUUGCAUAGUGCAGGGGUCCAGGGUCCGGAAGCAGUCUCGGGGAGUCCACGUACUCAUGCUGAGAGUUUCUACCGCACAGAUGAAGGUUGAAGUCAUGCUCUCAAAUCAUCUGUAGGCCAUGAUAACCCCGACACCUGCAAUGGGAC
rnacentral:lncRNA from 1 species